UGCAGUCGUACGAGAGUUUUUAACUCAAGUGNCGGACGGGUGAGUAACACGUGAGAAUUUGCCUUUAGGAGGGGGAUAACAGAGUGAAAACGCUGCUAAUACCCCAUAUGCUUUCGAGUGAAAUGGAUUUAUUCGCCUAAAGAGAAGCUCGCGGCUGAUUAGCUUGUUGGUAAGGUAAUGGCUUACCAAGGCGACGAUCAGUAUCUGGUUUGAGAGGACGAUCAGACACACUGGAACUGAGACACGGUCCAGACUCCUACGGGAGGCAGCAGUGGGGAAUUUUCCGCAAUGGGCGAAAGCCUGACGGAGCAAUACCGCGUGAGGGAAGACGGCCUAUGGGUUGUAAACCUCUUUUCUCAGGGAGGAACUCAAUGACGUUACCUGAGGAAUAAGCAUCGGCUAACUCCGUGCCAGCAGCCGCGGUAAGACGGAGGAUGCAAGUGUUAUCCGGAAUCACUGGGCGUAAAGCGUCUGUAGGUGGCUUAACAAGUCAACUGUUAAAUCUUGAAGCUCAACUUCGAAAUCGCAGUCGAAACUGUUAGGCUAGAGUAUAGUAGGGGUAAAGGGAAUUUCCAGUGGAGCGGUGAAAUGCGUAGAGAUUGGAAAGAACACCGAUGGCGAANGCACUUUACUGGGCUAUUACUGACACUCAGAGACGAAAGCUAGGGUAGCAAAUGGGAUUAGAUACCCCAGUAGUCCUAGCCGUAAACAAUGGAUACUAGAUGUUGGGCAGAUCGACCUGUUCAGUAUUAAAGCUAACGCGUUAAGUAUCCCGCCUGGGAAGUAUGCGCGCAAGCGUGAAACUCAAAGNAAUUGA
rnacentral:rRNA from 1 species